rnacentral:rRNA from 1 species
GUCUAUGGCUGUACCAUCUUAAACAUGCCUGAUCUUGGAAGCUAAGCAGGGUUGGGCCUGGUUAGUACUUGGAUGGGAGAGUUCAAGGCCAGCCUGGGCU